GAUGAACGCUAGCGGCAGGCUUAACACAUGCAAGUCGAGGGGUAUGGUUCUUCGGAACCAGAGACCGGCGCACGGGUGCGUAACGCGUAUGCAAUCUGCCUUUCACAGAGGGAUAGCCCAGAGAAAUUUGGAUUAAUACCUCAUAGUAUAGCGACAUCGCAUGAUGAUGCUAUUAAAGUCACAACGGUGAAAGAUGAGCAUGCGUCCCAUUAGCUAGUUGGUAAGGUAACGGCUUACCAAGGCAACGAUGGGUAGGGGUCCUGAGAGGGAGAUCCCCCACACUGGUACUGAGACACGGACCAGACUCCUACGGGAGGCAGCAGUGAGGAAUAUUGGUCAAUGGGCGCAAGCCUGAACCAGCCAUGCCGCGUGCAGGAUGACGGUCCUAUGGAUUGUAAACUGCUUUUGCACAGGAAGAAACACUGAUUCGUGAAUCAGCUUGACGGUACUGUGAGAAUAAGGAUCGGCUAACUCCGUGCCAGCAGCCGCGGUAAUACGGAGGAUCCAAGCGUUAUCCGGAAUCAUUGGGUUUAAAGGGUCCGUAGGCGGUCUGGUAAGUCAGUGGUGAAAGCCCAUCGCUCAACGGUGGAACGGCCAUUGAUACUGCUGGACUUGAAUUAUUAGGAAGUAACUAGAAUAUGUAGUGUAGCGGUGAAAUGCUUAGAGAUUACAUGGAAUACCAAUUGCGAAGGCAGGUUACUACUAAUGGAUUGACGCUGAUGGACGAAAGCGUGGGUAGCGAACAGGAUUAGAUACCCUGGUAGUCCACGCCGUAAACGAUGGAUACUAGCUGUUGGAAGCAAUUUCAGUGGCUAAGCGAAAGUGAUAAGUAUCCCACCUGGGGAGUACGUUCGCAAGAAUGAAACUCAAAGGAAUUGACGGGGGCCCGCACAAGCGGUGGAGCAUGUGGUUUAAUUCGAUGAUACGCGAGGAACCUUACCAAGGCUUAAAUGCAGACUGACCGAUUUGGAAACAGAUCUUUCGCAAGACAGUUUACAAGGUGCUGCAUGGUUGUCGUCAGCUCGUGCCGUGAGGUGUCAGGUUAAGUCCUAUAACGAGCGCAACCCCUGUUGUUAGUUGCCAGCGAGUCAUGUCGGGAACUCUAACAAGACUGCCAGUGCAAACUGUGAGGAAGGUGGGGAUGACGUCAAAUCAUCACGGCCCUUACGCCUUGGGCUACACACGUGCUACAAUGGCCGGUACAGAGAGCAGCCACUGGGUGACCAGGAGCGAAUCUAUAAAACCGGUCACAGUUCGGAUCGGAGUCUGCAACUCGACUCCGUGAAGCUGGAAUCGCUAGUAAUCGGAUAUCAGCCAUGAUCCGGUGAAUACGUUCCCGGGCCUUGUA
rnacentral:rRNA from 1 species